CGAUAUCAAUAAGCGGAGGAAAAGAAAAUAACAAUGAUUCCCCUAGUAACUGCGAGUGAAGAGGGACAAGCUCAAAUUUUAAAUCUGUUAGGUUUUACCUGACCGAGUUGUAAUUUGAAGAGGCGUUUUCUGUGAUCCUGAUCGGUCCAAGUCCUUUGGGAUAAGGCAUCAUGGAGGGUGAGAAUCCCGUUCGGUUGAUCAGGUCACUUUACGAUACGUCAUCAAAGAGUCAAGUUGUUUGGGAUUGCAGCUUAAAAUGGGAGGUAAAUUUCUCCUAAGGCUAAAUAAUGGCGAGAGACCGAUAGCGAACAAGUACCGUGAGGGAAAGAUGAAAAGAACUUUGAAAAGAGAGUUAAACAGUACGUGAAAUUGUUGAAAGGGAAACGAUUGAAGCCAGUCGUACCGGCGGGUAAUCAGCCUUUUGGGUGUGAUUAUGUGGAGUGUAAGGAGUUUAAUAGCCCUUAUUUUUGCAUAUUCGUGCACUUUGGGUGUACUUGCUCGUGUGGUUUGUUAACAUCAAUUUCGAACAUCAUAAAAUGGCUGGAGGAAUGUAGCUUCGAUCUCGUAUUGAAGUGUUAUAGACUUUGGUAGAUGUGAUGGUUGGGAUUGAGGAUUGCAACGGAUACCCUUCGGGGCUACCCGUCUGAUCUCUGAGAGUUACUCUGGUGCUGAAAGCGUGCUUAUGGUAUCAAAGUUGACGUUCAAUAGGUUAGAACGGGAUAAAUUCGUUAAGGAUGUUGACGUA
rnacentral:rRNA from 1 species